rfam:Schistosoma mansoni, Puerto Rico, WGS project CABG01000000 data, contig: 0071
GCACUGCUGCAGAGUCCCAUAAUAGGACGAAACGGCCGUCCAGUGC